rnacentral:lncRNA from 1 species
GUUCUUUGACUGUGUUUGAACAUAAACUUGAGCACUAGGGUAAUCAUUAUUUAGCAAGCAACACAAAGCAUUCCUUACCAUCAUUCAUAUAUUCGCUAUGAUGAAACCUCACAUAUUGGCCUGUCCCCACAGUUUACGGAGGGUGGGUACAAUAAAAGUGCUAUUCUUUGAUUUUGGAAUAAUAUUUGUUAUCGUUACAAUAAUAGUUGUUAUUGUUAUAUAUAAUAUGAAAUUUUUUGCCAAGAUCUGGACCCGAACCAGAUCCAACUCAGACCCAAACUGGAUCUGAAUUUGCAACCUGAAUUACUCGUUGGGCCAAAAAUUAUAGUUGUGGACCCGAACCGACCUAACCCGAUC